UUUUUAGUAUAAGUGUGUCCCAUGCAAUAUUUGGGACAUAUUUACACCAAAA
rnacentral:pre_miRNA from 1 species